rnacentral:rRNA from 1 species
ACAGCAGCCGCCACGGGAAUACAGAGGGUGCGAGCGUUAAUCGGAUUUACUGGGCGUAAAGCGUGCGUAGGCGGCUUCUUAAGUCGGAUGUGAAAUCCCUGAGCUUAACUUAGGAAUUGCAUUUGAUACUGGGAAGCUAGAGUAUGGGAGAGGAUGGUAGAAUUCCAGGUGUAGCGGUGAAAUGCGUAGAGAUCUGGAGGAAUACCGAUGGCGAAGGCAGCCAUCUGGCCUAAUACUGACGCUGAGGUACGAAAGCAUGGGGAGCAAACAGGAUUAGAUACCCCUGUAGUCCCUGUCUCUUAUAC